rnacentral:lncRNA from 1 species
AUAAACUAAAUCUAACAAGUACAUAGAUACAUACAUGUAUGAAAAAUAGAAUGGAUAAACACCAUAAAAUGAGGGCAUGGAGAUAAAUGAUAAACUUAGUUUACAUUAUAGAGGUGGCAAAUACUGAAAUAAGAAAGAGAAGAGCACGUGAUUAGAUGAGGGUACUGGCGGAGGAAGAAUGGGAUACAACUAAUGAUAUGUUGCAAACUUACACUUCUCAAGCUAGGAGUUUGCACCAAGGCUAUUGAGCAAAUUAUCCAAAGUAUUCUUUUUCAGCAAAUUAAGCUCCCAUUGAGCUCGUACUUCUUCCCUUGCAGCCCCAAGCAACAAAUUAUCAUGUGAUAUAGAAGUCUUGGUACAACUCUAUAGCAAUAUGCUUCCAGUUUCCAGAUCAACUCCAUAAAGCACCUGGAAAUGAUAGAAAAUUAAAUGUAAGCAGAACAACAUAUAAUAAGGGCAACAAAUAGUGCCAUUAUUCACCCCCAUUCUGGAGAAUCUUCUCCUAUUCCUCUUCAUAUUACCUUGAACCCUUGACAUUUUUCUCAUUGAAUCAUGAUUUUGAAGUUUGUUAAUCCUC